rnacentral:rRNA from 1 species
AUUGAACGCUGGCGGCAGGCCUAACACAUGCAAGUCGAACGAGUGGCGGACGGGUGAGUAAUGUCUGGGAAACUGCCUGAUGGAGGGGGAUAACUACUGGAAACGGUAGCUAAUACCGCAUACCAUCGGAUGUGCCCAGCUGGGAUUAGCUAGUAGGUGGGGUAAAGGCUCACCUAGGCGACGAUCCCUAGCUGGUCUGAGAGGAUGACCAGCCCAACUGGAACUUAGACAAGGUGCAGACUCCGACGGGAGGCAGCAGUGGGGAAUAGUGCACAAUGGGCGCAAGCCUGAUGCAGCCAUGCCGCGUGUAUGAAGAAGGCCUUCGGGUUGUAAAGUACGUUCAGCGGGGAGGCGUUACCCGCAGAAGAAGCACCGGCUAAAUCCGUGCCAGCAGCCGCGGUAAUUC